UGCCUUGGCAGCAGUUUGUCAUCCAGGAUUUGCGGAAUCACCUUGUCUUUAAAUUAGUUCAAGCAAUAUUUCCUUCGCCGGACCCCCAGGCCAUGAAGGACAAGCGAAUGGGGAACCUAGUGGCCUAUGCCCGC